CAGUCGCCGCGGGAAUACGAAGGGUGCAAGCGUCAAUCGGAAUUACUGGGCGUAAAGCGUGCGUAGGCGGUUUGUUAAGUCUGUUGUGAAAUCCCCGGGCUCAACCUGGGAAUGGCAAUGGAUACUGGCAAGCUAGAGUGUGUCAGAGGAUGGUGGAAUUCCCGGUGUAGCGGUGAAAUGCGUAGAGAUCGGGAGGAACAUCAGUGGCGAAGGCGGCCAUCUGGGACAACACUGACGCUGAGGCACGAAAGCGUGGGGAGCAAACAGGAUUAGAUACCCCCGUAGUCCCUGUCUCUUAUAC
rnacentral:rRNA from 1 species